GUGGGGAAUCUUGCGCAAUGGGCGAAAGCCUGACGCAGCCAUGCCGCGUGAAUGAUGAAGGUCUUAGGAUUGUAAAAUUCUUUCACCGGGGACGAUAAUGACGGUACCCGGAGAAGAAGCUCCGGCUAACUUCGUGCCAGCAGCCGCGGUAAUACGAAGGGGGCUAGCGUUGCUCGGAAUUACUGGGCGUAAAGGGCGCGUAGGCGGACAGCUUAGUCAGAGGUGAAAGCCCAGGGCUCAACCUUGGAAUUGCCUUUGAUACUGGCUGUCUUGAGUACGGGAGAGGUGAGUGGAACUCCGAGUGUAGAGGUGAAAUUCGUAGAUAUUCGGAAGAACACCAGUGGCGAAGGCGACUCACUGGCCCAAUACUGACGCUGAGGCGCGAAAGCGUGGGGAGCAAACAGGAUUAGAUACCCGGGUAGUCC
rnacentral:rRNA from 1 species